AUUGAACGCUGGCGGCAGGCCUAACACAUGCAAGUCGAACGAGUGGCGGACGGGUUAGUAAGGUCUGGGAACCUGCCUGAUGGAGGGGGAUAACUAAUGGAAACGGUAGCUACUUCCGCAUACCCUCAGAUGUGCCCAGAUGUGAUUAGCUAGUUGGUGGGUUAGCGGCUCACCAAGGCGACGAUCCCUCGCUGGUCUGAGAGGAUGACCAGUCACACUGGAAAUGAGACACGGUCCAGACCCCUACGGGAGGCAGCAGGGGGGAAUAUUGCAAAAUGGGCGCAAGCCUGAUGCAGCCAUGCCGCGUGUAUGAAGAAGGCCUUCGGGUUGUAAAGUACUUUCAGCGGGGAGGCGUUACCCGCAGAAGAAGCACCGGCUAACUCCGUGCCAGCAGCCGCGGUAAUAC
rnacentral:rRNA from 1 species